rnacentral:rRNA from 1 species
GACGAACGCUGGCGGCGUGCUUAACACAUGCAAGUCGAACGGUGAAGGGGUCUGCUUUUGUGGGCCCUGGAUGAGUGGCGAACGGGUGAGUAACACGUGAGUAACCUGCCCCCUUCUUCUGGAUAACCGCAUGAAAGUGUGGCUAAUACGGGAUAUUCUGGGUCUGUCGCAUGAUGGGUCUGGGAAAGAUUGCGCCUUUGGGUGUUUUUGGUGGGGGAUGGGCUCGCGGCCUAUCAGCUUGUUGGUGGGGUGAUGGCCUACCAAGGCGGUGACGGGUAGCCGGCCUGAGAGGGUGGACGGUCACACUGGGACUGAGACACGGCCCAGACUCCUACGGGAGGCAGCAGUGGGGAAUAUUGCACAAUGGGCGCAAGCCUGAUGCAGCGACGCCGCGUGAGGGAUGGAGGCCUUCGGGUUGUAAACCUCUUUCGCCAGUGAAGCAGGCCUGCUCCUUGUGGGUGGGUUGACGGUAGCUGGAUAAGAAGCGCCGGCUAACUACGCG